CUCCAUGCCGGCCAGGGCUUCUCCCACACAAAUCCGUUUUCCUGAAAAUAGCAAACACAGAGAGCAGUUACUCCUCAUGCGUAACUGUGACAGUGACAAACACUGUCUCUGUAACUGGCACAAACAGAAUAUGCAAUAACUGUUCAGUGUAUCGUAGAAGAGAUGAAGAGAUAGAUGGGUGGAUGGGUGCAUGCAUGAAUGAAUGGAUGGAUGAGUGGAUGGAUAAAUGGAUGAAUGGAUGGAUGUAUAGGCAACUGAAAAAUGAAUGGACAUACUUACUCUUCACCUAAUAUCAGAUCUUAACAGGCACCCUGUAUUCAACAAAUAUUUGUUGAGUACCAGCUACAUGCCAAGCACUUUAUUAAAAUCUUUCAAGAGACUUUAAAUGUCUUCAUCAAUCUUUCUUUAGAAACAUACAUUUCUUGUCCAGUGGGUUGAACUGAGAAGGGCUUAGAGGAGGAGGCUAACAUACUGUAUUUCCCUUUGUAUUUCUGGCUCAAUAUGCAGCCAAAGAUUUUUUUCCUCUAGGUACUUUCAGGAGCACAUGUCUAAACAUGUCACCUUCUCACUUUAAAACUUUAAAUGGCUUCCCUGUAUGUCCUAUAGGAUAAGGUCCCAAUGGAUUGAUCUGGACCCUCACAUUCUGUUUCCAGUCUGAUGAUCCACAUCACUCCUUACACUCUUCAAAUCCGAUACUGUCAACUCUAGGCAUAGCCACUCAUCAUCAGUCUCCAACACACCAUGAGGUUUCAAAUUUUAUAUCAUGCUGCUCCUUUUAGCCAAGAUGAACUUUUCUAUUACCACAGUCAGGACAUAGGUCAAAUUUUAUCUCCUUUUUUACCCUCUUUCUCAUCUCCUUGAGCAAGAAAAUGUUGCCUUCUCUGGGUUUCCUCAACAUUAUAUUUCCAUUGAAAAAUGUGCUAUGGUCUGAAUAUGCCUCCCCCAAUUUCAUAUGUUGACACAUAAUCCCAAUGCAACAUUACUAAAGAGAUGGCUCCUUUUAGGAAGUGAAUAAGUCAGGAGGGCUCUGUCCUUGCUAAAAUAAUAACAUCAAGAGAUGCAAGGGAGCCAUUUCUCCCCUUUUGCCUUUUUGCCCUUCUGCCAUAUAAGGAUACAGAGGGGGCAUUAUCUGUAAGGAACAGGCCCACAUCAGACACUGAACUUGCUGACACAUCGAUCUUGGAACUCCCAGCCUUCAGAACUGUGAGAAAUAAAUUUCCAUUAUUUAUCAAUUGCCUAGUCUUGGAUAUUUUGUUAUGGCAGAAGAAACAGACAGCAUGGAUCACCUAGAAUAAUAAUUACUGAUUUAUUUAUUUAUUUAUUAGUGUGCGAUAUGGUUGGGCUCUGUGUCCUUACUCAAAUCUCAUGUCAAACUGUAAUUCCCAAUGUUGGGGGAGAUACCUGGUGAGAGGUGAUUGAAUCAUGGGGGAUAAUUUCCCCCUUUCUGUUCUCAUGAUAGUGAGUGAGUUCUCAUGAGAUCUGGUUGUUUAAAGGUAUGUAGCCUUUCCUCAUUGUUCUCUCUCUUCUGCUCUGCCAUGGAAAGAUGUGCUUGCUUCCGCUCUGCCUCCCACCAUGAUUGCAAGUUUCUUGAGGUCUCCCAGCCAUGCUUCCUGUACAGCCUGUGGAUCUAGAUCAACAUACUGAAAGGAAACAGAGGAAAUGGACUCUUCUUGAUUACAGGAGAUGGAAAGUAACAGGAUACUGAAACUAUGUGCUUAUUUCUUGACUGGAGAGUGAAUUGCAAGAAAAAAGUGAUUAAAAUAUUAUUUUAAAGUUGGGAAAUUUUAAAUAAAAGCUGUAUAGUAAAUAAUAUUAUUGUAUUAAUAACUCCACAGUAUGAAUGCUAUUAUUAUGUAGGAGAAAACCAUUGUUAUUGUGCUAUACAUACUGAAGUAUUGAGGUGUAAAUAGAUGGAUGGACAGAUAUCAGAGUAGAUAUGUAUACACACUGC
rnacentral:lncRNA from 10 species